rnacentral:rRNA from 1 species
UGCAUAUCAAUAAGCGGAGGAAAAGAAACCAACAGGGAUUGCCUCAGUAACGGCGAGUGAAGCGGCAGCAGCUCAAAUUUGAAAUCUGGCCCCCCCCGGGGGGCCCGAGUUGUAAUUUGCAGAGGAUGCUUCUGGCGAGGCGCCUUCCGAGUUCCCUGGAACGGGACGCCACAGAGGGUGAGAGCCCCGUCUGGUGGGACGCCGAGCCUCUGUGAAGCUCCUUCGACGAGUCGAGUAGUUUGGGAAUGCUGCUCAAAGCGGGAGGUAUAUGUCUUCUAAAGCUAAAUACCGGCCAGAGACCGAUAGCGCACAAGUAGAGUGAUCGAAAGAUGAAAAGCACCUUGAAAAGGGGGUUAAACAGUACGUGAAAUUGUUGAAAGGGAAGCGCUCGUGACCAGACGUGGGCCGGGCGGAUCACCCGGCGUCCUCGCCGGGGCACUCCGCCCGUCCCAGGCCAGCAUCAGUUCGCGCCGGGGGACAAAGGCGGCGGGAACGUGGCUCCCCCGGGAGUGUUAUAGCCCGCCGCGCAAUGCCCUGGGGCGGACUGAGGUUCGCGCUUCCGCAAGGAUGCUGGCGUAAUGGUCACCAGCGACCCGUCUUGAAACACGGACCAAA